CUCGAGGCCAGAUCUUUCCGGUUGAUCCCGCCGGACCUGACUGCUAUCGGAUUGAUACUAAGCCAUGCGAGUCAUUGUAGUAAUACAAGGCAGACGGCUCAGUAACGCGUAGUCAAUCUACCCUGUGGACGGGAAUAACCUCGGGAAACUGAGAAUAAUGCCCGAUAGAACACUAUGCCUGGAAUGGUUUGUGUUUGAAAUAAUUUAUUGCCAUAGGAUGGGACUGCGGCCUAUCAGUUUGUUGGUGAGGUAAUGGCCCACCAAGACUAUUACAGGUACGGGCUCUGAGAGGAGUAGCCCGGAGAUGGGUACUGAGACACGGACCCAGGCCCUAUGGGGCGCAGCAGGCGAGAAAACUUUGCAAUGUGCGAAAGCACGACAAGGUUAAUCCGAGUGGUUUCUGCUAAAGGAACCUUUUGUCGGUCCUAGAAACACCGAUGAAUAAGGGGUGGGCAAGUUCUGGUGUCAGCCGCCGCGGUAAAACCAGCACCUCAAGUGGUCAGGAUGAUUAUUGGGCCUAAAGCAUCCGUAGCUUGCUUUGUUAGUUUUCGGUUAAA
rnacentral:rRNA from 1 species